rnacentral:lncRNA from 1 species
CCUCACUGGAUUGAGUGUAUGCAUCAGGACAUAGCAGGCCUUCUGGGAAAUCCCUCUAAAAGAACCUGAGUCUGAGGAAGAGCAGCAGCCUCCUCAUUUUAAGGCAGAUUCACAAGCAGAUCUGGAACCAGGAAGUCUGAUGUCAUCACAAAUCAUGGAUAUGUUUGGGGACACACAGCCUUUUAGUGGUAGAGGCAGGCAUGAGCCAACAGCCAGGACUGAUCUUUGAACACAGGAAGAAAUAGUUCAGGGUAUGAUGACCCAACAUAUGCUAGUGGGAACAGUAAAAGGAGGACAUUUGAGCAUUUGCUCAAAUAUGUCCUCAUUUGUAUGCAGAGACUGGUAAAUACUCAGUUUACAAAGAUAUGAAGGUCACUAUCUCUGAGAUUAUGUCAUGGGCCACAAGAAGAAGAAAAUAAACUGUGUUGUCAUAGCUUACUAUGGGGAAACUUCCAUUCUCCUUAAUUGUAAGCCUUAAAAUAUCUUCAUUUAUCUGCAAAUCUAGAGUAUUUGGAUGGUACAAGCUACUUUUCAUAUAACUGUGCAUUAUAAAUGGUUCAUAAUGAACCUAAAGAAAAUGUGCCUAGAUGUUCUUUCAUCCUAGUGGAUGGUAAAGACUUCCAUAUUCACUGAUCCUAUGCAACAUAUGAUUUUAGCUCAAGCAAGACUUUAAAGACAAUGUUUGAUAAAAAGAUUUCAGUCAUUGAAGACAGCCAUUGAGAAUAAACCAUUCCAGUUUUCACCUUGGUGCUUAGUUUAUAAACAUACACAAGGAAGAUGAUAAAUAAAUAUAUAAGUGAACAAAUAUGUUUUAAAGUGACUAUUUUAAGAUUCACAACUUAAGCCAAGUAAAAGAUCUUGGUAGAAAUUAUAAGAAUUUUUGAGAGAUAAAAAGUCUGGCAGAAAAUUAUGCAGGAAACCUGGGAUUAAAUAUUAUACCAUGAAACAAUCCAAAGUUUGUGACUCAAGAAGAGCUAUUGCUUUUUCAUGUAACAUAGUAAAGGCAUAGAAGUAGAAAAGAUUUACAUGUUGAUUAAGAUUAAAAUUCCUGGCAGAAGUGAAGUUCAGGAUCUUUUGAGCUUAUCCCAGCCUCACUGAGCUCAUUCUUUUGAUGUGUAAAAAUAUCUCACUGGUCUGCCAGUCAAAUAAAUGCUAAUGGUAAUAUUGGCUCUGUUUGACUUUUUUGAUGUUAAACAUUUGAAAUGCUUUUUCCAUCUAAAAAACAGACUCCAAUCUUAAUGGUAGCAUCAAAAUUACUUCAAAAAGUAAGAGUUAAUGUCACCCAUGAGAUGCACUAAAAGUUAAAUAACAAAAUGGCUGAGGGAGAAGUCUUGGUGUCAGAACAGAAUUAAAAUCACCUACAGAAUCAAAGAUUGUGUAUUCUCAGUAGAAGAUUUUAAGGCAAAAAAAAAUCAUCUUGAGUGGUUUUAUGAGUGUGUCAAACUGAAAAAGAUCCUUUCCUGAGUAAAAAUUAAGUCUCACAGAAUCCAGAGAUAGGCCACGGAAAACUAAAAGCAUUUACAGGUUGAAGUAAGGCCAUGGAAAUGAUAAGUAAUUAAAGAAGUCACUCUACAGAGCAGAACAGAGCAGGUAGGCAGAGAGGCAAAGCCAAAAAUUCACAUUAUCCUAAAGGAGCACAAAGUGGUUUUGCUCUUGUCUUUCCAUUUCCUCUUUAGUACCUGACUCAAAAAAAAAUUCUUUAUAAUUUUUUAAUUCACUAUUCUUUAACUUGGGCUACUUGAAGUAGGAUUAAUUUUUUCCCCUUGAAUUAAUCUCUAACUGAAACAUCCAAGUUUUCCAGAGAAAGCAGACAUAAGCAGCCUUGAUUCAUCAUCUGACACAUUUCUUUAAAAAAAAAUAAAUCUAAAGUACAUAUGGAACAAUGUUUCCCCUUCAUUGAGCUUUUCCAUGUUCUAAGCCAUAAACUUCUUAAAUUCUUUUCUCGGGUUUACCUUAAAGGAAGACAUUAGGUGUUAGCUGAACAAAUGCAUUUAUUUAUUUGUAGAAGAGUUAUUGGUUAUCAGUUCAGUGUCAGGCCUUGUUUUAGGAGCUGUGAGUUAAAGAAGUUAAUGAGACAUAUUCAUUGCCCUUAAAGAUUUCCCACAGGAGAGAGCAUUGUUUUAAAGAUAGUCCAGUUCAAGGAAGAGAAGCCUGCUCACACUAGAUUAAGAGAAAAAGAGAAGCUCUUAAGAGGAUACAGGGAUGUGUCAU